rnacentral:tRNA from 1 species
UUAACUGAAACCAAAAAGAGGUAUAUCAUUGUUAAUGAUAAAAUUGAAUUAAAAUGUUCCAGUUAAG